UGCUCAGUAACACGUGGAUAACCUGACCUUGGGACCGGAAUAACCCCGGGAAACUGGGGAUAAUACCGGAUAGACCAUGAAAGCUGGAAUGCAUCGUGGUUCAAAGGAGAAAUCUGCCCAAGGAUGGGUCUGCGGCCUAUCAGGUAGUAGCGGGUGCAAUGUACCUGCUAGCCAAAUACGGGUACGGGUUGUGAGAGCAAGAGCCCGGAGAUGGAUUCUGAGACAUUAAUCCAGGCCCUACGGGGCGCAGCAGGCGCGAAAUCUUUACAAUGCGGGAAACCGCGAUAAGGGGACACCGAGUGCCAGCAUAUAAUGUUGGCUGUCCGUAUGUGUAAACGGCAUGCGAUAGCAAGGGCCGGGCAAGACCGGUGCCAGCAGCCGCGGUAAUACGAU
rnacentral:rRNA from 1 species